GACGAACGCUGGCGGCGUGCUUAACACAUGCAAGUCGAACGGAAAGGCCCUGCUUGCCGGGUACUCGAGUGGCGAACGGGUGAGUAGCACGUGGGUGAUCUGCCCUGCACUUCGGGAUAAGCCUGGGAAACUGGGUCUAAUACCGGAUAGGAGCCAUUUUUAGUGUGAUGGUUGGAAAGUUUUUUCGGUGUAGGAUGAGCUCGCGGCCUAUCAGCUUGUUGGUGGGGUAAUGGCCUACCAAGGCGGCGACGGGUAGCCGGCCUGAGAGGGUGGACGGCCACAUUGGGACUGAGAUACGGCCCAGACUCCUACGGGAGGCAGCAGUGGGGAAUAUUGCACAAUGGGCGCAAGCCUGAUGCAGCGACGCCGCGUGGGGGAUGACGGCCUUCGGGUUGUAAACUCCUUUCGCUAGGGACGAAGCUUUUUGUGACGGUACCUAGAUAAGAAGCACCGGCUAACUACGUG
rnacentral:rRNA from 1 species